rnacentral:snoRNA from 1 species
CUUCUGUGAUAAUACGAUGACGAGUCGGAAUGGGCCACGUUUGGUCUCUGGGGCCGCUGGUUCAGGGUCACAUUCUGUCUCUUGCUUCAGUUUCCCAGAGCAGCGUGUCUCUUCAGUUGAAGACAUCGAGGCAUUUGUCUGAGAAGG